GAUGAAGAACGUAGCGAAAUGCGAUAAGUAGUGUGAAUUGCAGAAUUCAGUGAAUCAUCGAAUCUUUGAACGCACAUUGCGCCCUUUGGUAUUCCUUAGGGCAUGCCUGUUCGAGCGGCAUUUAAACCUUCAAGCUAAGCUUGGUGUUGGGUGACUGUCCGCUUCACGGCGGACUCGCCUCAAAAUUAUUGGCGGCCGGUACAUUGGCUUCGAGCGCAGCAGAAACGCGAACUCGGGCCCGUCGUAUUGGCUCCCAGAAGCUAUCUUCACAAUUUUGACCUCGGAUCAGGUAGGGAUACCCGCUGAACUUAAGCAUAUCAAUAAGCGGAGGA
rnacentral:misc_RNA from 1 species